UAGUCCACGCCGUAAACGAUGUCAACUAGCCGUUGGUCGGGUUACCGAUUAGUGGCGCAGCUAACGCAUUAAGUUGACCGCCUGGGGAGUACGGUCGCAAGAUUAAAACUCAAAGGAAUUGACGGGGGCCCGCACAAGCGGUGGAGCAUGUGGUUUAAUUCGAUGCAACGCGAAGAACCUUACCUACCCUUGACAUUGACAGAACCUCGUAGAGAUACUUGGGUGCCUUCGGGCCUGGAAAACAGGUGCUGCAUGGCUGUCGUCAGCUCGUGUCGCGAGAUGUUGGGUUAAGUCCCGCAACGAGCGCAACCCUCAUCCUUAGUUACUAUCAUUUAGUUGAGUACUUUAAGGAAACUGCCGGUGAUAAGCCGGAGGAAGGUGGGGAUGACGUCAAGUCCUCAUGGCCCUUACAAGCUGGGCUACACACGUGCUACAAUGGCAAUGACAGUGAGCAGCUAACCCGCGAGGGCACGCUAAUCUCUAAAAGUUGUCUCAGUUCGGAUUGCACU
rnacentral:rRNA from 1 species